rnacentral:rRNA from 1 species
AACGAACGCUGGCGGCAUGCCUAACACAUGCAAGUCGAACGAGACCUUCGGGUCUAGUGGCGCACGGGUGCGUAACGCGUGGGAACCUGCCUUUAGGUUCGGAAUAACUCAGAGAAAUUUGAGCUAAUACCGGAUGAUGUCUUCGGACCAAAGAUUUAUCGCCUUUAGAUGGGCCCGCGUUGGAUUAGCUAGUUGGUGGGGUAAAGGCCUACCAAGGCGACGAUCCAUAGCUGGUCUGAGAGGAUGAUCAGCCACACUGGGACUGAGACACGGCCCAGACUCCUGCGGGAGGCAGCAGUGGGGAAUAUUGGACAAUGGGCGAAAGCCUGAUCCAGCAAUGCCGCGUGAGUGAUGAAGGCCUUAGGGUUGUAAAGCUCUUUUACCCGAGAUGAUAAUGACAGUAUCGGGAGAAUAAGCUCCGGCUAACUCCGUG